CGAGAAAGUUUCCUUCGGGAAAUUAGUAAAGUGGCGCAAGGGUGAGUAUCACGUGAAUAAUCUGCCCUCGAGAUCGGGAUAACAUGGUGAAAACUAUGCUAAUACCGGAUAAGACCACAUUUCAUAAGAAAUGCGGUAAAAGGAGUCUCAAUCUUCACUCGAGGAUGAGUUCGCGCAACAUUAGCUUGUUGGUGAGAUAAAAGCUCACCAAGGCUACGAUGUUUAGCCGGCCUGAGAGGGUGAACGGCCACACUGGAACUGAGACACGGUCCAGACUCCUACGGGAGGCAGCAGUGGGGAAUAUUGCGCAAUGGGCGAAAGCCUGACGCAGCAACGCCGUGUGAGCGAUGAAGGCUUUAGAGUCGUAAAGCUCUGUCAAAUGGGAAGAAUUUUGACGGUACCAUUAGAGGAAGCCCCGGCUAACUCCGUGCCAGCAGCCGCGGUAAUACGGAGGGGGCAAGCGUUGUUCGGAAUUAUUGGGCGUAAAGCGUAUGUAGGCGGCUAGGUAAGUCAGGCGUGCAAGCCCGUGGCUCAACCACGGAAUUGCGUUUGAUACUGCUUAGCUUGAGUACAGGAGAGGAAAGCGGAAUUCCCAGUGUA
rnacentral:rRNA from 1 species